GAUGAACGCUAGCGGCAGGCUUAACACAUGCAAGUCGAGGGGUAUGCCGAUUUAUCGGCAGAGACCGGCGCACGGGUGCGUAACGCGUAUGCAAUCUGCCUUUCACAGAGGGAUAGCCCAGAGAAAUUUGGAUUAAUACCUCAUAGUAUAGUAAGUUGGCAUCAACCUGCUAUUAAAGUCACAACGGUGAAAGAUGAGCAUGCGUCCCAUUAGCUAGUUGGUAGGGUAACGGCUUACCAAGGCUACGAUGGGUAGGGGUCCUGAGAGGGAGGUCCCCCACACUGGUACUGAGGCACGGACCAGACCACUACGGGAGGCAGCAGUGAGGAAUAUUGGUCAAUGGGCGCAAGCCUGAACCAGCCAUGCCGCGUGCAGGAUGACGGUCCUAUGGAUUGUAAACUGCUUUUGUACGAGAAGAAACACUCCUACGUGUAGGGGCUUGACGGUAUCGUAAGAAUAAGGAUCGGCUAACUCCGUGCCAGCCGCCGCAGUAAUAC
rnacentral:rRNA from 1 species